rnacentral:rRNA from 1 species
GCACAAGCGGUGGAUGAUGUGGAUUAAUUCGAUGCAACGCGAAAACCUUACCUACCUUGACAUGUCCGGAAUCCCGAAGAGAUUUGGGAGUGCUCGCAAGAGAGCCGGAACACAGGUGCUGCAUGGCUGUCGUCAGCUCGUGUCGUGAGAUGUUGGGUUAAGUCCCGCAACGAGCGCAACCCUUGUCAUUAGUUGCCAUCAUUUGGUUGGGCACUCUAAUGAGACUGCCGGUGACAAACCGGAGGAAGGUGGGGAUGACGUCAAGUCCUCAUGGCCCUUAUGGGUAGGGCUUCACACGUCAUACAAUGGUCGGUACAGAGGGUUGCCAACCCGCGAGGGGGAGCUAAUCCCACAAAGCCGAUCGUAGUCCGGAUCGCAGUCUGCAACUCGACUGCGUGAAGUCGGAAUCGCUAGUAAUCGUGGAUCAGCAUGUCACGGUGAAUACGUUCCCGGGUCUU